rnacentral:snRNA from 1 species
CUACUUUACCUGGCGGGUGACACCAUGAUCAGCAGGUGGUUUGCCCAAGGUGAGGCUCUGUCAUUGCACUCUGACCGUGCUGACCUUGUGAAUUCCAAAUGUGGGAUCUCAACUGCAUAAUUUUGGUAGUGGGGGACUGCGUUCGCGCUCUCCCCUG